AAUUUGUGUUCAGCAGUGAUAUGGUUUGGCUCUGUGUCCCCACCUAAGUUUCAUGUUGAAUUGAAAUCCCCAUUGUUGGAGGUGGGGCCUGGGAGGAGGUGAUUGAAUCAUAGGGGUGGUUUCUAAUGGUUUAACACCAUACCUCUCCAGCGAUCUCGUGAUAGAGGUCUCAGGAGAUCUGGUUGUUUGAAAAUGUUUAGCAUCUCCCUUUUCACUCUCUCUCUCUCUCAACUGACAGCUAUGUGGGUAUGUGCUUGCUUCCCCUUCACCAUCCGCCAUGAUUGUAAGUUUCCUGAGAGAUCCCCAAAAGCAGAUCCUUACAGAACAAGAUCUGGGUUCCUGUGGAAGAAGACUUUCACCAGAGUACACAGCAAGAGUCCCUUUAAACUUCAAUCCUUGGCUGUUGUAGGUAUACUUCAGGACUUGUUGUCAAAAUACCAAUAAUCAAGAGAAGGUGUCACAAUCUUAGUAGUAGUAAUUAUCUUGAUCAUCAUAAAGAGAUAGAAAUGUUAUGCAGUGAGGUCAGAAAACAACAUGCUUGAUACUCAUGUCCUCCCUGAGAUAUCUCUUGGCAUUUUCUUACCCAAUUUUAUUGUUUAAUGCUCAUGUACAGUAGACUGAGGGAAGCAUGAAGACCUGGAGUUCAAACCCCCUUGGGAGUGAAUAACUUCUUGGUCAACUUACGAAUAAGACCCUAAGCCAGUGAAGAUCCUUGUUAAAAUUGACGGGAAUCUAGAACUGGUUUUUAAAAAAGAAAAAAAAAGAGAGAGAGAGAAGCAAAUUAUGUCUUCAAGACCAGCUACAGUGGUGAUGUUGAAGUUUUUUCCACUAAACUUCCUGUUGCAAUUUACCCCAAGAAAUAUGACCAGUGCAAAUCUUGAAUGAAGAGUUUCUAAAAUGUAUUACAUAAAGUAUGUGGAGCUGAAGAAAGCAAAAGGUUGGACUAUAAUGGAUGCUCUUUUGUGCCUCCAAGAUACACCCUUCAGUUCUGAGGCUUUCAUUUGUCCGCCCCCUGAGAGUAUUGCUGCCUGAUGUCUUUCUCCUGAGCCUUGAGACUUAUGAAUUGUCCUUGGGCAAAGGGAGCUGCCUUACCAGAAGAAACCUUCUUUCUCUAGGACACUCCUUAUCAAAUGGCUAUUGAUAUGAUAGUAUAAAUGCUUGUGCCCCUAUAUCAAAGCAGAAUUCUAAAGAACCAUUUUAGCAGAGCUGCCCAAGAGAUUGGCCAAGGCCUCCUUGAGACUGUUUCACAGUUCAAGUUCUUUUUCUCAAUCUUAAUUUUUUUUAUUUCUCAAUAGGUAUUAAUCCUGAGAACUCUCCUUAAUAAAAUUAUUAUGUGCAA
rnacentral:lncRNA from 10 species